ensembl:snoRNA
CAUCUGUUGUGAUGUUUUGCACUGGGCUCAGAUAAUCAGUGACGACGGAGGUGCAGCUCUGCCCCUGACAAGGCAGAGUCUGAGCAGAUG